CUCCUCAACCUGCGCUUGGGCGGCGGCGACGGUGUGUCCCUGUCAGGUGAGAUCUGUAGCGCCACAGGCGGCGGUGGAGGUGAAGUGCCUCCCCCUCCAGUGGAGCAACUCACAUCACUCAAGACGCUGAUCAUAAAGGCAUGCAAGAAUAUGCGGUCGCUUCCAACACUGCCCAAGUCUCUUGAGGAGAUUGCAGUCUGUUACUGCAGUGACGAGUUCAUACAAUCUUGUGUAAGGACUGAUGAUCCAAACUAGCAGAAGAUUGAGCACAUUCCAAAGAAAACAAUUAAAUUCUAUAGUGAAAAAGGUCCAUACGAAAGUUGGUAACUGUCAGCCGCGUGCCCUUUGGCUGAGGACAGGAGAUGAAGCCAUCAGACUCUUGCUAAAUCUGCAUGCUCUCUAAAUGCGUAGCCUCUUCGUUGGAUUUUAUCUACUUUAAUUUGGUUUGUUGAAUCUUGCAUGUUUCUGCGUGAAGUGGUGCUGCGCUCAUACUCUCAUAAACUACGGCCGGGCACUGCAAAAUGCCACGUCUCCAUGCAGUCACAAACAGUGGAUUUUUGAGUUGUUUACGAUAUAUGGAUUUAUGAGUUGUUUACUGUCUAUGGAUGUAAUAACGUGAAACGAUGGAACACCAGAUAUGAUUUGCUUCAUAUGUAUGAUUUGUAACAUUGGCGUGUC